UACGUAGGGCGCAAGCGUUAUCCGGAAUUAUUGGGCGUAACGAGCUCGUAGGCGGUUUGUCGCGUCUGCCGUGAAAGUCCGGGGCUCAACCCCGGAUCUGCGGUGGGUACGGGCAGACUAGAGUGAUGUAGGGGAGACUGGAAUUCCUGGUGUAGCGGUGAAAUGCGCAGAUAUCAGGAGGAACACCGAUGGCGAAGGCAGGUCUCUGGGCCACUACUGACGCUGAGAAGCGAAAGCAUGGGGAGCGAACAGG
rnacentral:rRNA from 1 species